UUAUGGUAUUACGACGAAUCUUACGGAUACAUUUUCUGUAAGUUUUUUUUCCUUCAAAAGUUUCACCAAUAAACACUUCAAUAGUGAACUUCAUUUUAGUAUAAACAUCUACCGCCUAUCGACACCUCUAACACAGACUAAGUAUUAAUGUGACAUACUGCAGUGAUAAGAUCAGACCACCUGAAGUCCCCCGUUUAUCAGUGCUAAUGACUCAUUCUGCUAUUGGCAGUUACAGCAGCACUCUGGGAGAAAUGUUGGGCCGGUUCAGCCAUAUUGCCAGGUUUCCUCAAUGAUUGAACGCCAUUGUGGGUUGUCGAUGUUCACGGAGCCAACUACCUGAAACUACAAUAAAUGCUCGUUGCUCUUAGAACGCGUAUUACAGACGAGCAGGGAGCAUGUCUGAAGAAUACGGGUGAAGACUCCUUUUGUAGCAGUUAGCCCGGUCUAGUGAUGACAGUCCUGAGUGGAGGCUCCUAAAAGGGCCGUUUUAGUCUAGCUGAGUCUUCCUUAUAGCGAGGAAGCAAGCGCGGCGUUCUUCAUUGCGGCAGCAAUAUAUCCUGUCCGGAAAUAUGCCAUAUGUCUCUCAUAAACUGGGCGACAAAUUCCAGAUGGCAGAACUACCGCGGUGAGCAUUUCGCCCACUUCUGCUGGAAGGCGUAGGUGAUGGGCAUGUGGUCGGCGAAGAUGGUGAAGUGACGCGCUUCCAGCAUAUGGCAGAAAUGAUUUACAGCCUCGCAGAUAGCCAGUAGCUCGCAGUCAUAGGCGCUGUACUUCUCCUGCGCCUGCUUGUGUGUUUCUAGGAUAAGGCAAGGAGCUGCCAUGUGUUCCUGACGUGUUGUUGUAGCACAGUACCCAUGUCGGGCGUGGAGGCAUCUGUGACCAGUGCAAGUGGCGUGGAUGGAUCCGGGUGAGCCAGUAGAGUGGUGCUUGAUAAAGUCGCCUUGCACUGCUCCUACCGCCAGCAGAAUUCCAAAUCAUCCGGAUCAACAACACUGAGACAGUGGACUACACCAGCGCGUGCACUACAGCGCCGGGCCAGCUAGACUCCACUCUCACGCCGGGUGGCCAUAAAGAAGGCCUGGACUCUCCGACUAGGCUCGCCGCUAUCCUGCCUGCUCUUAACCGCUCAGCGACCAUAAAGGAAGGCCCACGCUACUACUAGCGCAAGCACGGCGGAACAAACGGCCCUUUUCAGGGCCCGCAAACUUGUGAGCAACAUAUGUAUAUGGUGUGACAUAUUGCGCUAUGGAGGACAUCCCUUCUCCCCCCAGCGGUGACGUAACAACAUCGAGCGCUGUCGCUACUAUGGCAACAGGCCAGUCAAUACUCCGCCCCCUCCCGUGCGGUGACGUGUCAGCACUUCCCACUGUAACGUAACAGGCGACAACACCGGUAAACACGGCGACUAGGCAAAAUGGAAGCGAGGUGUCUUCCAUUGUCUGGCUGAGGGUUUAUAAGAGAACUGCACUGCUUAAGGAGUCAGUUAAAAUGUAGCAGUCGCCAAAGACAGUUUAAAUAUAGCAGCAGUUGGGGAAAGAAGAACCAAAUGCGUGGUUAGAAGAUUUGAAUAAUUGUGAUAAUAAUGUGAUACUUUGUGAUACUGCCAAUGGCAGUAAUUGGGAAACUUAAUUGUAUAACUGUAAGAGUGAGUGUACAAUAAAUUCGCUAUAUCAAAUAAGGCGUGAAGUUACUUGUCGCACAUGCAUACCCAACACGUGACAAUUUGGUGUCACAAUAUAUAUAUUGAUUCAGCUUCGCAGCUAUCUGUACAUUUGAAAAUAAUAUACACAAUUGUUAUAGUUUUGCGUGGUUUUCUCGUAGAACAUAGACAUACCACACUUCUAUUAACUUUAAGAAAAACAGUUUUCUACAAUAAUUGUAGUACUUUUAUUCCCAAGACAAGUUCUCUUAUUAGACACGAAAUUUUAACAGAGCAUUGAAAUUAUUUUAUUACAAAUUAUUUAAGGCACACAGCUGAGUAAACCAUGGCUUUAAAUACUGAGUAAUUUUUCCAUGUUACUAUUAUUAAACCACUGUCAACUUUCAUUUAUCACAAAGUAGUGUACUUGCUUUUAAAACGUUUCACUUAAGCCUACUGCUAUGAUAUUCAACUGAAGUCGAAUAGGUAUCCAUUACAGUACAGAGUGACAUUGACCUUCAGUUAACAUCAAGAAAUAAUCAUCUUCUUUUGCUGUGUCAUUCAUUUCAUUCACUGGGCUAUGAAAAUGUAUUAUUUUGUUGAUUUUCUUUCAUAUUAUCAUAAAAUUUCAUUAUUUGGGGGCAAUGGUGAGAAAAUGAGAAAAUGAUGUGCAGGAAAAGGGUUUAGGGAUGAAAUAAAAACCCUCUGUCUGAGUUGUGAACAGAAAGAUGUCUAUUGUCAUUUAAUAAUAGAUGCACUGAAUAUUUAUUUAAUAUUCGUUUAAUAGCAGAUAGACUAAACAUGGUCCCUGAAGCAGUUAGUCUGCUGCAACAUGUCAUUUAAUAUAUACAUACUGCUCUGAUGCAAUAUAAAAG